rnacentral:rRNA from 1 species
UAACGUGAGCGUCCUAAGGUAGCGCGAUAAUUUGCUUUUCAAUUGAAGGAUGGUAUGAAAGGGUUAACGAAGAAGGUGCUGUGUCUAAAAAUUCAAUCUAAACUAACUUUAAGGUGAAGAGGCCUUUAUGUAAAAGAAGGACGACAAGACCCUAUGAAGCUUUAUCUUAAUUGGAGCUCUCAGGCUCUUAUACGAUUUUGAUGGGAGAUCAGUAGAAAGAAGUCUUCUACUAUCAUAUUAAUCUUACUAGUAUUUCCUAACUUUAUAUGUGUGGCUAGCUACUCUAGGGAUAACAGCGCAAUUUCUCCCGAAAGAUGGUAUUGGAGGGGAAGAUUGCGACCUCGAUGUUGGCUUUAGAUAUCCUAGAGGCGUAGAAGCUUCU